rnacentral:rRNA from 1 species
UACGAAGGGGGCUAGCGUUGCUCGGAAUCACUGGGCGUAAAGCGCACGUAGGCGGCUUCUUAAGUCAGGGGUGAAAGCCUGGAGCUCAACUCCAGAACUGCCUUUGAUACUGAGGAGCUUGAGUCCGGGAGAGGUGAGUGGAACUGCGAGUGUAGAGGUGAAAUUCGUAGAUAUUCGCAAGAACACCAGUGGCGAAGGCGGCUCACUGGCCCGGUACUGACGCUGAGACGCGAAAGCGUGGGGAGCGAACAGG